rnacentral:rRNA from 1 species
GACGAACCGUGCGAACGUUGUUCGGAAUCACUGGGCUUAAAGGGCGCGUAGGCGGCUUGCCAAGUCAGGGGUGAAAUCCUGCAGCUUAACUGUAGAAGGGCCUUUGAUACUGGCGAGCUCGAGGGAGGUAGGGGUAUGUGGAACUUCCGGUGGAGCGGUGAAAUGCGUUGAUAUCGGAAGGAACACCAAUGGCGAAGGCAGCCGCCUGGGCCUGAUCUGACACUGAGACACGAAAGCGUGGGGAUCAAACAGG